AACGCGUUGGCCCAAUUGAUUGAUGGUGCUUGCACCUGAUUGAUUUUGGUCGCCAACGAGUGGCGGACGGGUGAGUAACACGUAGGUAACCUGCCCAGAAGCGGGGGACAACAUUUGGAAACAGAUGCUAAUACCGCAUAACAGCGUUGUUCGCAUGAACAACGCUUAAAAGAUGGCUUCUCGCUAUCACUUCUGGAUGGACCUGCGGUGCAUUAGCUUGUUGGUGGGGUAACGGCCUACCAAGGCGAUGAUGCAUAGCCGAGUUGAGAGACUGAUCGGCCACAAUGGGACUGAGACACGGCCCAUACUCCUACAGGAGGCAGCAGUAGGGAAUCUUCCACAAUGGGCGCAAGCCUGAUGGAGCAACACCGCGUGAGUGAAGAAGGGUUUCGGCUCGUAAAGCUCUGUUGUUAAAGAAGAACACGUAUGGAGAGUAACUGUCCAUACGUUGACGGUAUUUAACCAGAAAGUCCCGGCUAACUACGUGCCAGCAGC
rnacentral:rRNA from 1 species